rnacentral:rRNA from 1 species
AUCGGUGACAGGUGGUGCAUGGUUGUCGUCAGCUCGUGUCGUGAGAUGUUGGUUAAGUCCCGCAACGAGCGCAACCCCUAUUGUUAGUUGCCAUCAUUCAGUUGGGCACUCUAGCGAGACUGCCGGUAAUAAACCGGAGGAAGGUGGGGAUGACGUCAAAUCAUCAUGCCCCUUAUGACCUGGGCUACACACGUGCUACAAUGGUUGGUACAACGAGUUGCGAGUCGGUGACGGCGAGCUAAUCUCUUAAAGCCAAUCUCAGUUCGGAUUGUAGGCUGCAACUCGCCUACAUGAAGUCGGAAUCGCUAGUAAUCGCGGAUCAGCACGCCGCGGUCGAAUACGUUCCCGGGCCUU